rnacentral:rRNA from 1 species
UAAGACGAACCGUGCGAACGUUAAUCGGAUUCAUUGGGCUUAAAGGGCGCGUAGGCGGCGGCGUAAGUUCGUGGUGAAAUCCCAUCGGCUCAACCGUGGAAUUGCUUCGAAUACUGCGUCGCUCGAGGGAGAUAGGGGACCGCAGAACUGCCGGUGGAGCGGUGAAAUGUGUUGAUAUCGGCGGGAAUGCCAGUGCCGAAAGGGGCGGUCUGGACCUCUUCUGACGCUGAGGCGCGAAAGCUAGGGGAGCGAACGGGAUUAGAUACCCCGGUAGUCCUAGCCUUAAACGUUGGGUACUGGGUAGAAAGUGUACCGAUAGCACCUUCUGCCGGAGCGAAAGUGUUAAGUACCCCGCCUGGGGAGUAUGGUCGCAAGGCUG